rnacentral:rRNA from 1 species
UACGAAGGGGGCUAGCGUUGCUCGGAAUCACUGGGCGUAAAGCGCACGUAGGCGGCUCUUUAAGUCGGGGGUGAAAUCCUGGAGCUCAACUCCAGAACUGCCUUCGAUACUGGAGAGCUCGAGUCCGGGAGAGGUGAGUGGAACUGCGAGUGUAGAGGUGAAAUUCGUAGAUAUUCGCAAGAACACCAGUGGCGAAGGCGGCUCACUGGCCCGAUACUGACGCUGAGACGCGAAAGCGUGGGGAGCAAACAGG